UUCUGGGUAUGAAUUCUUACAGCAGUGUUUUUAAAAAUUUUUUUUUUUAAAACCUCACAAGUUAAAGGCAGGCACUUUCCAGGUUUGAAAUCCCACAAACCUUAUAAUCAGAUAGCUGGACAAAUAUGCAGAUUAAGCUAGAGCUCUGUAUAGAGAAUUAAACAGCAUGCCAGUGAAUAUUUCCAUUUUAUUCCUUGCCUCUCCCCACCCUUCAGUUUUGCCAGCUUACAAGGUAUUAAACCGGGAUGUUUUGUCCACUUACUUUUAUGCCAUCUAUAUCUGUUUUUUAAAUGAUCAGGUCCAUGGCAUUCUUCUGACUCCCUAGAUCAGGGGGAAAAACUAGACUAGGGCCUGACAGGGGGCAUUUGAGCAUGUGUGUUGGCCAUUUUUUUUAAAAGGCCACUGCACAUGCUCAAAUGGUCCCUGCGAGGUGUCCUAUGACUUGCGAGGCCUCACAGAGGCCUUUUGAGCAUGUGCAGUGACCUCCAAAAUGGCUGUUGCACUGAUCUUUAUAGGCCUGAACAGGCCUGAAAUUAGACCGGGAUGAGCUACAGCGGAGUUCUAAGAGGCCGGUGGGGGGGGGGACCUUUACAGACCCCUCCCCCACGGCCUUUAGGAAGCCCCCCCAAAGGGGCUACAGGUUUAAAAAAAAUUGGGGGGGAAACACACACCAAUAAUUCAUGAAUUGGGUGUGGGGUAGCAUGGCACUGGCACCCACACAAGUGGCACCUAGGGCAUGUGCCCUGGCUGCCCCCACUAGUUUUACCUAUGGAUAUAGGAGAUACUAGUUAUCACCGACAGUGACAAAAAGAACAGCUCCUGUGUUCACCAGGCAUUGGCUUUGGAAGCUUAUGGCAAGGACUAGGCAUGUAGGUGGAACGCAGGUGGAACACAGACUUCACACUUCAUCUACUAGAACUUUCUGACGUGCAUGAUGUGGCUGGAAAACUACUAUUUCAAAAACUCUGAAAUGAUAGACAGUGAUGGUGACAUUGGAGGUGGACCGUGUAUGUUGAAGAUGGAUCCUCCAAAAAGAAAAAGAAGUCAAUACAAUUAGUAACAUACUGCAUGUUUAGUAUUACUCAUUGCAUGCACUGACAGAUAUGAAACUAUUAAAAGAAUAUCUACCUAUUUUAACUGCAUUAAAAUGGUAACAAUUGUUUUUUCCAAACAUGAGAAUACAAUUGCUUGAGAAGCCCACCCAAAUACUAAUGGCCAGGGAAAACAGGCAGUCUCUUAGACAAAAACAAUGUGAAAAGAAUAUUUAUUAACCUGAAGGUCCUACUCCCUUCUGAAUCUUCAAAACAGGAGCACUUUUCAUUAUGCUGCUGCAUUCAGGCUUUGCAUUUCUUUGUUGCACUGUUUACAUUUUGUAUGUAUGCCUAUCUUCCCCACAGGUACAGGAACUUCAUUAAAAUAUUCUCAAAUUGCUGCCAUGAGAGGUGUUUCCCUUCUAUAAUGGAGUCAGAGUUCACUCAGAAUAAGUUUCCUGAGGACUGCAUGAAUGUAUGUAAUGUAAUUUUAUUUACAGUCAUUGACCAAACAGAGAGUAAAAACCAGUAAAUGUUCUGCUCACUUUCUGUUUCACUUUUUAUUUCUUUCCCCAUCGCUUGCAGUUACAUACAGACUUCUCCUCCUUGCUAAGAUCUACUUUAUGCCAUCAAAUUGUUUGUUGACUUUCUUUGUCUUUGCACUUUUAGAUAGAGAGGUAAGGGCUUGACUUUGCACACCACCGUACCAUCUACAGAAUAGCAGUGAUCAGGUCUCUCAUCUCCAUAUACUGCUGUUAACAACAAGAAAAUCUAUAAGGAUGUAAUGAAAAUGCAAAAAAUGCAGAGAGAAAAACAUUUCAGCUCUCAGCUGUGAAGGUCCCUUUGAAAACCAAAAAAGACAGAAUAAAACUGAAAUCUGACCGAUUACACAGAAGUCCGUCACAAGAACUGAAAAGAGGAUCCAAGUGACGGCGAGAGUCUGCUGGUCAAAUUUGAUAUCAUUUUUUAAAGAAGGAAAGCCCCGGGAAGAAAAGCAAGUGCUGGAGUUUAUUUCUUUCAACUAACUGAAUGUUUACACCUGUAUCAAGCAUGAGGGGUUUUUUUAUAUUAAUGUUGAUGUUUCAGUUAAACACAAUGUUCCUGCAUUAA